rnacentral:tmRNA from 1 species
CCGGGCAGCUUGAAGUGUAAGUGGCGUGCCGUGGUUGGUCAGCAGGCCACGUUAAAAGCCGACCAUAAACUUAAUUGCCAAGCCUAGCUUUGCAAUGGCUGCCUAGAGAUAGACAGUCCCGGCCCAGGGCUUUUGUCGGAGAGGCCCGAAGGCUGGUCACCUAAUUCCGAAUCGUCUCGGGUCGACGCCGGCCACGCCCGAGAUUAAACAAGCCGCCGACUAGCCCGCGCGGCACCCCGUCGGUUGGGGAUCGCGAGGGCGAAGACGCAAAUCAUCCGACUACGCACGUAGAAGCUUGCAUGGAAAUGUCGCGGGACGCGGGUUCGAUCCCCGCCGCCUCCACUG